GUAGGAACCAAGAUUUUGAAAUUAUCUUUGGACAAAAUUUUGGAAUUGAAGACUUGCUAUUAUAUUUCAAAAGUUGUUAGAAAUAUUAUUUUCGUACCUUUAUUAUUAGAACAAGAUUUUGAAAUAAAAGCUAAGAAUAAUAGUUGUUCUAUCUAUUUUUCUAAUGAAUUUUAUGAAAAUACUUUUGUUGAUAAUGAUCUUCUAUUCCUAUCACUUAGUGAUAAUGUACUUCAUAUUGACAAUAUGAAGAAAAAGA
rnacentral:lncRNA from 1 species